CCACUCUCCUGCCUGGGCUGCUGCUCAACGGGGGCUGGGGGUGUGUGGGGCGGGGGUGGUCUGUCCAGUGAUUCAGCCACAUGUGAUAGAUGACCAAGUGACUGCUUUCUUGGAGUCCGCACACCAGUGGAAGACUCUCAAAGUGGUUGUGACCGACUUGAUCAAACUCUAGGCUUCCUGAACUGGAAUGAAAUGCAGAUAACUCUUUAGAAAACUUUUGUAGGAAAAGCGCCUCGUGUGAUCUGGAACAAAGACGUUUUAUAAUCAGAUUUAUCAAGCUGCGAAGAGGGAGUUUUAGUGAACGGAAGCAGCAGCAUUCUGUCACCAGGAAAUACUCCUUUAUCCAGAAUUGGUAAGUGAAAAGUGGCAUUGCUCCCUAAUAGAUAUCAUAUGUGUGUGUGGGAAUUGAAAAAUUGUUCACAGACCCCUAACAACUGUGUUGAACAGAGAACACAUAAACAGUGAGGAGUUCUAAAAAAGAGCAGCACGAGAAUACCGCAUAAAGACUGAGAAGAAGCCAGGUAAUUAACAAAAAUGAGCUGAGUGCUAUCAGUUUAGCUAAACAUAUGUAAUACAGCUAGAUUUGGUUGUUUUAUUUUUUCUUGUUAGUGGAGGAGAAACAUAAAAUCAGAAUGGGCUGUUUAGUAGAAUUGCGACAUUAACUUUCCAUGGAUGUAGAUUUCCAUCUAGUCUGAAUAGCAUGUAUGAAAUUUGAAGGGAUGCUUUCAGAAUUAGUCUACUUGCCCUCCUUUCCUUUCCUCUGCAUUAAGAUGUCAAGUAUUUAGUUAGAACCUUACAAGAUGAAAGUUGUACAAAAUGAAAGUUCAAGUAAUGCGUCGGAAACACCUCUCCUGAUUGGGAAGGGUAGAUUACAAUGGCAAUAGAUUUUUGUUUUUUCUUUCUUACAUUUGUGUCACGAAUUUUAAGUUUGUUCUAUUGGAUUACAUUAGUACAGCAAAAGGGGGGUUAUUUCUAUCUAUAUGGUUCAUGACAUUUUGAGAGGUCGUGAUUAGUAGUUCUUACUGGUUUCGUAUGCAUGUUCCUGCCUGUUGAAUUCAGUUUUCUAAUCUUGAAUCUGAGCUGCCUUUAUGUUAAAGGGUUCUAGAAAAAGACAAUAAAGCUUUGAAUGCCUGUGUUAUAUACAACAGGUUCCUGUUCAUGAUGUAUAAGGUAACGCAAUUUUAUUUUAGGCAUGAAUGUCUAAUUUCUUGAUUUGGCUUCUUAAGAAUAUACUGAAAAGGUUGAAUAGAAUAAGAAAAAGAACAUUAGAAAAGAAUGGUGGGUGACUGCCUGAUUUUACUAGUUUCUUAUUGGUCAAUAGAAGUAAUCAUGUGAUGUCUACUUAUAGAAGCAAAUGGAAAAAAUUUUUCUUCUUUAACUGCUAACAAUUAUAUAGGCAAUUUUAGCAAUCUUCAUUUAUUAAUUCGAAUAUAUAAUUAUAACUGUUAUUAACAGAAUAAGUUUUGGGUAAUAUAGGAAAUAAUAAUUAUUUCUUUCUUUUUAAGCCAAAUUGGAAGUUGAAUCUACUUUUGGUUCCUGUUCUGUUACUUUCAAAAUCUUAAAAUCCUUAACUCAAAAGGGAAAAUGUAUAAUAAAACAGGAUAGCAGUGCUGAAAUUUCUCUCUCUUAGCAGUGGAGUGGGAUGAGGGUGGGGCAGGGAGAUGAAUCUAGUGAGAUAUAUUAAUUGUUUUUUCCCCCUCUUGUAUACUUGGAUAACUUUUGAGAUCAGUUUUCUCAGACUAGCAGCUCUCAAGACUU
rnacentral:lncRNA from 1 species